rnacentral:misc_RNA from 1 species
CAUCAAUCGAAUAGGGUUUACCCUUUCAACAGCCAAACCCUCCAAAAAUCCUCUUUUCAAAACAGUGAACCUCAGAAAUCCCGCUGAAAGAGAAAGGGGAGGAGAGCGCCACGAUGUCUGGCUUCUCUUCCUCAUCCUCUUCAUCUCCCUUCUCAUUGGAAUCCUCCGCUUCUUCAUUUGGAUCUGCAACCACUGGUGCCAGAUUCCAUUUCGGAUCUUCCCCUUCCCCAUCCUCUUCUGCAAACCCUAGCUCCUCAUCCUCUUCUUCCUCUUCCACCUCAUUAUCGUUUGCAUUCAACACCUCGUCAAGCUCUAACCCUAGCUCAGCUCCUCCCGUUUCUUCAUUUGGUUUCGGACUCUCUACCUCUUCAUCCUCCUCCGCUUCUUCUGCCUCUUUAUUGUUCUCCUUUGGUUCAUCUCCUGCUGCCACCAGUUCCGUCCCAUCCCUAUUUGGCUCUGCGUCUGGUUCCACCUCAUCGCCGUUUGGGCAAGCUGAUUCCUCUGCAAUUUCUGGUUCAAACAAUUUUGGGGCUGUUUCAUCCUCUACUACUUCUCCUUCACCCUUGUUUGGGACUGUUUCUUCUGCGGCUAGUUCUGCCUCGCCUCUGUUUGGUGCAGUGUCAACGGCGGCCUCAAGUGCCGGCUCGUCCUUGUUUGGGGGAACUACGUCUUUACCAUUGUUUGGAGCAACCUCGUCUCCCAUAUUUGGAACAACUUCAUCAGUAGCAAGUUCUGCUUCUACUUCGUCUGUGGCAAGUUCUUCGCCUCCGUUUGGUACAACUUCGUCUGUAGCGAGUUCUCCCUUACCCCUGUUUAGCACAACUUCGUCUGCGGCAAAUUCUACCCCAUCUUUGUUCGGAACAACUUCGCCUGCGGCAAGUUCUACCCCAUCUUUAUUCGCAACAACUUCGUCUGCGGCAAGUUCUACCCCAUCUUUGUUCCCAACAACUUCGUCUGCGGCCAGUUCUGGACCAUUCCCGUUUGGUACAUCCUCCUCCGCUGCAAGUUCAGGUUCAUUACUUUUUGGGACGUCUUCAUCCACUACAAAUUCUGGGCCGUCCCUGUUUGGGUCAUCUGGUGCUUCAGCUGCCACUACUACAUCUAACUUGUUUGCCUCGUCUACAUCAGCUUCAACUACUACAUUCUCGUCUAAUUUGUUCUCUUCAAUUUCCUCUUCGAAUUCAAGCUUCGCUUUGCCUUUCUCCACCGCUUCAUCAGGAUUUUCCUUACCAAAAACCACUCCAAGUUCAACACCAACUACUGCAUCUACAGCGGCUCCUUCGACACAAACUUCAUCAGCAAGCACUUCAGGCUUCUCAUUUGGGACACCGUCUUCUGCAUCUUCAGCAAGCGCUUCUACCAUUUCAUUUGGGACACCAUCUUCCGCAUCGUCUCAAUCUUCCUUCAGCUUUAGCAAUGCAGCUUCUUCAUCUGCCCCUACUGUCUCCACCACACUUGCUGCAAAACCAACAUCUCUAUCGCCAUUGUUUUCUACAGUCACGACCACAAGUGCUUUUACUCCAGCUGCUGGUAUUUCAGUGGCUUCUUCUUCUGCUACAGCUUCAACGCUU